rnacentral:tRNA from 13 species
UGUCAGAAGUGGGAUUCGAACCUACGCCCACAAGAAUGAACUGCGACCUGAACGCAGCGCCUUAGACCGCUCGGCCAUCCUGAC